UCCGUAGGUGAACCUGCGGAAUGGAUCAUUACAGAAUGAAAAGUGCUUAACUGCAUUUUUUCUUACACAUGUGUUUUUCUCUUUUUGAAAACUUUGCUUUGGUAGGCCUUCUAUAUGGGGCCUGCCAGAGAUUAAACUCAACCAAAUUUUAUUUAAUGUCAACCGAUUAUUUAAUAGUCAAAACUUUCAACAACGGAUCUCUUGGUUCUCGCAUCGAUGAAGAACGCAGCGAAAUGCGAUAAGUAAUAUGAAUUGCAGAUAUUCGUGAAUCAUCGAAUCUUUGAACGCACAUUGCGCCCUUUGGUAUUCCAAAGGGCAUGCCUGUUUGAGCGUCAUUUCUCCCUCAAACCCUCGGGUUUGGUGUUGAGCGAUACGCUGGGUUUGCUUGAAAGAAAGGCGGAGUAUAAACUAAUGGAUAGGUUUUUUCCACUCAUUGGUACAAACUCCAAAACUUCUUCCAAAUUCGACCUCAAAUCAGUGUAGGAGUACCCGCUGAACUUAGGCAUAUCAAUAAGCGGAGGAAAAG
rnacentral:rRNA from 1 species